ensembl:lncRNA
CUCUCUCUCUCUCCCUCUCUCUCUCUCUCUCUCUCUCCCCUGUCAAUCAUAGCGACACUGGCCAAUCACAGUUCUCUGUGAGUGGGGGGGAGGGGAAAAAAGUGUUGUUUUUUUUUUUGUUGUUGUUUGUUUUUUUGUUUUUUUUUAUGUUGAAAUUCAACAACUUUCACUGUGUCAGUAAGCCUGCUGUUCUUUUUUUUUUAGUAGCUGGAAAUACGCAGGAAUUCUUUUGUUUGCUGAACGCACAUACACUACAGAUGAGGUGGAGAUUAGCGUGAAACACGCCUUUAAUCACAUCAAACCCUUGUCGAAUUAUUUAAAAGUCUGGUAUGAAAUAACCAGCCUUCGGAGACAUCAGUCCUCACGCUGCGUACGGCGGUCUCACCGGGGCACUGACGAUCGUCCGGGGCGUCUGUGCUAAACGUUGUGUUAUAUAACAGCCAUGCCUGUCGAACACACUGCCAACAGAAGGAGGUCGCGAAUUUGAUUUGAAUUCAUUCAGUUUGAUGAUUAUGUUCAUGGUCUGGCGUCGUUUUGUUUGUUUGUUUGUUUGUUUGUUUGUUUUAAAGGAACAUUCUCACCGUUUUAAAACCCUCACGCUUGCAUUUUCUGUUAAAUUAUAAAGAGGGGUUUCUCACACAACUUCAGAUUCAUGGACUGGCUGAUCCGGCGUAAGACGAAUUCCAUACUAGCUUUGUUCGUGCUAUAAAUGUUAUAAUCAAAUCCAGAGGAUCGCCGAAUCACGAGCAGCCCUGAGCUCUUCACGUGUUAAAAUGUCUCCGUUUCAGGAAUCGGUCUACAUGUCGCAUUUCAUCUGCUCUUAAUAGGUUUCAACUUUCAGCUCAGAUUCAGUACCAUGCAGGACAAUAUUGUAACGAUCCUGAUGGUUGGUAUGAUAUCGGUGCAUUCCAGGCUAGCACAUGCAGGAUCCAUUACCUUACGUUAAACCCAACACGCCAGAAAAACUGCUUUGGACGUAUUAUGCAACGACACCAGCUUCACCACAGAUGCAGGAAGUCUUCUAAACACGAGGAAUGAUCAUAGAAGCUAGGCACCAUUUACUCUAAUUUGUCUGUAUUUAUGUAGCCCGUUCAUAUUGGAAUCAUGACUGUGUUUAAAUUGGGCAGUUUUCUGCUGUGUGUGUGUGUGUGUGUGGGGCUUGUGUUGGAGAGACGUUUUGUUUGUAAAACCAUUAAUGAAUGACUAAACAAACUACACGCGAGAUAUAAAGUAUUUAUAUCGCAAUAAACUUCUCACAGUUCAUAAGGUUGUCAUGACACAUCAGCUUGACAUGUCUUAACUAAGAGCCCUUAGUAGAGACCUGUCCUUUUAUUCUACCUAUCUAUUCUGCCUACUUCUGAAACAGAUUUUAAGUGCAGAAUCAUCCUGUUAAGGGGACCGGACACGGUGUCGUGACUAGAAACCUUUGGAGGAAAGAUGCACACGAUUCUCGCAGAAAUCUUAACGUAUAACUUUGAAUCUGUGUAUUCUGAAAGACGUUGUGUACAUAUAGAACUUUUGUAAAUACAGAAUUAUUAAAGACAUUUAGACGAUUCCGUGUCUGAUGUUUCAGUUUUCAGUUUGAUAAAAGCGCUAUAUAAGUGCACACCAUUUACAUGGAGUGGAAGAUCUUGAGCGUCCUGCACAGAGCCCUGACCUCAAUUGGACACCUUGUGGAACACCAACUUCAUGCCAGUCCCAACAUCACUGCCCAACCUCAACCCCCACAGCCACGCUCUAAAAUCUAGUGAAAAAC